CCUACGUGAGGCAGCAGUGAGGAAUAUUGGUCAAUGGACGAGAGUCUGAACCAGCCAAGUAGCGUGAAGGAUGACUGUCCUAUGGGUUGUAAACUUCUUUUAUAUGGGAAUAAAAUGUUCCACGUGUGGGCUUUUGUAUGUACCAUAUGAAUAAGGCUCGGCGAACCUCGUGCCAGCAGCCGCGGUAAUACGGAGGAUCCGAGCGUUAUCCGGAUUUAUUGGGUUUAAAGGGAGCGUAGGUGGAUUGUUAAGUCAGUUGUGAAAGUUUGCGGCUCAACCGUAAGAUUGCAGUUGAAACUGGCAGUCUUGAGGACAGUAGAGGUGAGCGGAAUUCGUGGUGUAGCGGUGAAAUGCUUAGAUAUCACGAAGAACUCCGAUUGCGAAGGCAGCUCACUGGACUGCAACUGACACUGAGGCUCGAAAGUGUGGGUAUCAAACAGGAUUAGAUACCCCUGUAGUC
rnacentral:rRNA from 1 species